AAAAUCAAAGAAAUUUCCCUCCACUCUCUCUCCCGCUCCAGUGUGACAGUCACUGCUUCGUGCUCAAAUCCCAAACUGGAAACCCUAAAUUGCCCAACCUCUCUCUCUCUCUCUCUGCAAUUCCUCCAUUUCCGAUGGCCUCCAAGACCCCCGACGAGCCUUGCAUCUCCGAGACCGAGGCAGAGACAAUAGCCAUGAGAAUCAAGAGGAAACGCUCCCGGCGCGUGAGCUUCGCCGACACUGAGAUCACCUCCGUCCACAUAUUCAACCGCGACGAGGAGGACUCCGACAACGCUCCCGACUCCGAACCCCAGUCCAGCUCUCUAAACGACUCCGCCGAGCCGGAUAAUGGUGCCGUAGGGUUUUUCAAGGAUGUCGGCGGCGAAAGCGACGAUUUCAAGGAUUCCGAUGACGACGAGGACGACGACGGAGUCGACGGGAGGAAGUCGUUUUUGAGACCGCUUGGUUCGCCUUCUCCGAUGAGUAGCGUUCCUGGCUCUGCUACCUCCAACAACGAAGAAGAUUUCUUUGGUCCUGUAUCAGCAGAUUUCAUUAGACCCGGACUAUCUGAUUCUGCAGCCUCAGAUAGCUUUCAUGAAACUACAAUGGACACUACCGCAUUUUCAUUGCAUUAUCGUAGUCUUGCAAGGUCAGACUUUGGAGGAGAUCUCAAGACCCCAACGUCUUUUCGCCUUGCCUUUGAAGAGAAGACACCAACCCCUAACCCCAGUGAUUCAGGAAGUCUUAUGUCUCUAACGAAACCAAAGAAUCUAACUCCUCAGUCUUCGGUUCCAGUUGAUAAGGUCAGAAGCGGUGAAGAUUCGAAUGACAUGAGUAUUAUAGAAGAGAACCCACAUAGGUAUGAUUAUGGAAGACUAUCUCCUAAAUUAGAUGCACUUUUGGCAGAAGGUAGCAAGGAUCUGCAUGCUGACUCAGUUACUGCCUCUAUUAGCAUAAUGCCAUCCAAGAGAAGUGAGGUUACUGUGUUGGAAAAAAAUGGAAUUGGCCACAUGGAUCUAAGAGAUGGUAGGAGUACUGAAAUGGGCAAUUUUGGCACUCAUGAGAUGUCCACUGACUCAGCAUCUAAUUCUCGUAUCAAGUUGAGUGAGGCAAAUGGUCUGGUUGCUGGUGACUCCAUUGACGACCAAAUCCAGACUCCAAAUCAGUUAAUGAAGGUCAGUAACGAACUCACUAAAGAUAAAUUUCAAAAGGGUAUGGAGAGUUUAGAGUUACCUGCUGCGAAUGGCGACCUCGUAGCAAAUGUCAAUAGUAAAGCAACUAAAGCUCUAGAAAAUUCUCCCAAGGACAGAAGAUAUAAUACUAAUAUUGAUCCUCAUUCUGAUAAGGAGAGGUCCAUAUUCAUGUUAUCUGCUAGAGGACAGCAGUCAAUUAUGAAUACUCCUAAUUUAGCAAGACAUUCAGGGACAGUAACUCCUUCCUCAAAACAUAAAGAUUGGUAUCCAGCAAUUCAGAAAAGCAUUUCCAGGUUAAGAAUUCCAGAGCCUUCUCCCCGUGCUUCUAGUCUCAAAGAUGGAAUUGAGAAAUUAAGAUGUAGAUUGUCAAGUCACUCAUCCCCAAAUGCUCCUUUAAGUACUGUUAUGGCUGACAUUAGCAAAGAUCUGCAACGUGACUUUAACAAAUCUCCUACUGCUUUUUUGGAGAAGCAAGUACAAGUAGGUGAUCUGGAGAAGGGGGGACAGAAGAGUUUGGUUAACACAGGUACAGAUGACAAUGAGAACCCAGUUAACAUCCGUAAGUUGGGGAAGGAUGAAAACUCUACAGACACUGCAAAAGAUGAAGCAUCUCUGAACAUGUUUGCAGACACUAUUUUGAAGGAUAAACUUGACAGACCAAUAGAAGAAGUGGCUCCACCCUCUCAGCUGUCAGUAUCUGGAAGUAAAAUGACCCAGCAUCUCUUGAUGUCAGAAAAUAACACAAAAGGAACAAUGGUUUCUUCUGGAACUGAUUGCCUAUUGGCAGAUGAGCGAGAAGAGAAUCUUCCCCAUGUGCAACUUCAAUCAGAAAAUAACUUCCAAACUCCUUUAAGUGGUGCAGGCAUUCUGAACAUUCAAUUGCAAAGUCCAGAUAAAAGAUUUCAACCUGGACUAGAACCCCAGUCUAAACCAUAUGUCUCCAGAAGUAUGACUGAACCAUCCCUUCAGAGCCCUCCUCCUAAAGACUCAGCUCUGAACAACUCCAUGGAAGGGCCAUCUAAGAGUCCACCCAGGAAAAGGCAAACUCCAAGUCCUCCCUUGAGAAAUACCCCUCGGAGUCCCCUCAGGGAAGAGCCAAGUCAGAGUCCCUGCAGGAAAGAAACAGCUAGGAGUCCUUCCAGGAAAAAGCUUACUGAGAGUCUUUCUUGGAAAGAGCCAAUUCAGCCGUUCAUAGAAGAGCUUAUUGGUAGUCCCAUUGAGAAAGAACUGAACCAUAGUCUCUUUCUGAAAGAGCUAACACUAAGCCCCUUCAGGCCAUCUUAUGCAGAACACAUAGAUAAUAUGGGACCUGUUGGGAAAGACAUGGUAUCUUCUGAGUUAAAUUCAAAUAAUCAUCCUAAUGAUGAUUGUUAUCAGGGACUACAUAUUUCACAGAGUCCUCUUACCAAACAAGAUGCAGAUAAUUCUUUUGGACGUAAAAGAAGAAACCUAGGCAUAACUCUCCAGGAUGGAGACUGUACAGAUAAGAUCCCCGACAGCCAGAGAAGUUCUAAAAUUCAUAGAAGUGAGAACUAUGAUCUCCAGUUCAUGUUGGGUCAUGCAAGUACACUUCACAGUGACAGAGAGAAGUAUGGUGGUGAAUCGGGUGGUGAUACAAUUUGGGAGAGCUGGACUGAUAUUCUAGUCAAAUUCUCAGGAGAUUCAGAACAGUUGCUUUCUCCAUUGACAAGCAACCUAAAUUUAAAAGCGAUUGGGGUGCUGGAAGAUAUCUUGAUACAUCUAUUGAAGGCUAAAAAGUAUGAGACGCUUUGUGCUGAAAUCGAAUCUCAGAAGGUCAGCUGCAUCAGUGCUGGGCAUAAAAGGGUAGCUGAAGCAAGGUUGCUGCUUUAUAGAUUAGCGAAUGAAAAGGCAAAGUUGCAGUUAAUGCAUUUGAAGCACCAGAAAUUACAGAGUAGGGUACAGCUCUUAAGCUCUGCAGUUCAGGAGUCUCAAAUGCUGAAGUUGAACUUCAUCCAGUGUCAGUCUGAAGCUGGUAAAGAAGAGACUCUUGUUGAUGAGAGUCGGUCAUGUUUAGUUAAUCAUGUGGGUGAACAAGAGGCUCCCUGUGAUAAUGUGAGCACAAUGAGACAAGAGCUAAGAGCUUCAGAUGAGAAAAUAAAAAGUUUAAGCAAAUUCUUUCACUCUCAUAUCAAGUUUAAAGGAGAACCAAGUUAUGCCAACACUAUUGCACUAGUUCAUGAUCAUCUGAAGACAAGAACAUUCUGCAGGUUAAUACGUCAGGAGUUACAGUCAUGGGAUGUUGAUGAAUUUGAGAUUAAGAAUGGUCAUUACAACAUUCUUCUCAGCUAUCAUGGUUACAUCAUUCAAAGGUUUACUGGUAAUAUGGGUCCAACAUCACGCAUAGUCAUCUCAAAAAAGUUGAAUAAUGUAAAGAUCAUGAAGGCCUUCCCGAACAUAGAUGCCCUAGUUGCAUUUGAUUUUGUGCUAGAUGCUGAGGCCACCAAAGAAAUGUUUGAUUCAAGAUGUUUGGCGGAAGAAACACAAGUUACCCGUUCACAGCUAUGUAAUCUGCUAGACGUGGCUGAGGAAGUGCAGCUGGCUCGAUUUGAGAUUGUAAAUUUGAUCCAGACAAGCUUUCAUACUCCAUCCGAUGAUCAGCUUGAUCUGCAGCUUUGUUUCCUUAAUUGUAAGAGCAGUAGAAAGGUCACACUGUCUCUCGAUAUGACAUGUUUGAAGAGGGGGGUUUAUCCUUCAGAGAUCCUUCCAUAUCAGAUACAGGCUUUUGAAUCUGCAGCACAAGUGUUGCUUCCACAGUCGCUCUUAACUGAAAUAAGAGCUGCAGCAGAGGGUCUUGAACCUGGAUCCACAAGGAUAAUGAGGCUCUGUAAAUGUAUUUCCCAGGUGGUAUAAUCUUCACACUGGAAUUUUCUGGUUUCUUUUUCAGUCGGUUUAGUCCCACGUGAUUUCCUAAGAGGGGGCCAAAGGUGGCACCAACAAAGAGUUGGACUUUUUCGAUUGCUUUCCCGGCCAUCUUUUUCUCUUUGGAUAGUGAGGUGUCCUAAUUGCUCUUGUAUAUUUAGCUGAAGAUAUUUUGGUAACCCUGUAGCUGAGUCCUCUUUGUAAUUAGAUUCUGUUGCCGGAGCUACGAACUAAUAAUUUCAUCAUGGUGCGCCUGAUGCAAGAUCUAGGGGAUUUGCUAUUCCCCCCUUUGUUGUGGUGGUCAACAUUUCUCUUUUUGCUGGACUUCUCUCAUAUGCUGGUGUUUGGUGUUUUCUCAUUUAUCAAAUAUGAUUGCCCAGGCUUGAAGGGGACACGUGGCAUGUUGUGAGAAAGGUCAGUUGGGUAAAUAUCUAACUUGCUACAAGUAUAAAGAUAAGGAAAAAGGGCUGCACUUUUUAGUGAAAGUGGGGUUGAAUCUCACAUGUCUCUUCCCUGUCAUUGAUCCAACUGGCGUUUUUGAUUGAUUGCGAUCACAAUUGUAAUGCCUUAUCUGCUUUGUUCACUACAAAAUACCAUCUUAGCUGCACUCAGCCCAUAUCUUCUAUAUUCUCCACUAUAAUCUAUGACUCGACACAU